UACAGAGGUCUCAAGCGUUGUUCGGAUUCAUUGGGCGUAAAGGGCUCGUAGGCGGUUUGUCGCGUCGGGAGUGAAAUCCACUGGCUUAACUGGUGGCUUGCUUUCGAUACGGGCAGACUGGAGGUAUGCAGGGGAGAACGGAAUUCCUGGUGUAGCGGUGAAAUGCGCAGAUAUCAGGAAGAACACCCGUGGCUAAGGCGGCUCUCUAGUACGUGACUGACGCUGAGACGCGAAAGCGUGGGGAGCGAACAGG
rnacentral:rRNA from 1 species